AUGGCGCCCAAGGCCGGCCCCAUCCCCGCCGUCAGGCACGGACAAGGAGGCGGUCGUGGGUCCCUACUGGACCCCGGCCCCACGCCGACGGGAACCCAGGCGGCCGCGGGCUCACUCACCAUCUUCAGUCCGCUGUCCGCAGUACCUCUCAGCCCCGUUACCGUCAGCGGCCCGCUGCUCACUUCCGUUUCCGGGCCCGCCCCCCAUAUCCGCCGGAAGUGCGUCCUUCCGGGCGAGGUAGGAAGAAGGGCGCGGGCGCCGGGAGGGAACUGCACGAGGCCGGCGCUCCCACGCCUGUGGUCCCCAGGGACCCGGGCCAAGGGCUCUGGGAAGCUGCGGGCUGGGAGGAGGGCGGGUUGGGACGAAACGUGCCGGAGCGGAGGGAAGAUGCGGCCUUCAGCUCUGCUGGUUGGAAUAACACAAUGAGAACAUCAGGGCAAAGACAGGGAUUGGCUUGCCACAGAAAGGAGGCCAGGAAGGCUGUGUGUCUUUGCACGAUUGCAUAGCUUCUUUGAGCCUUGAGACAGUCAGGCUUCUGUGUCACCUUGACCAGAUGAUGCUGUCCAGCUGUUUGGUCAAGCAGGCACUGGCCAAAUUGUACUGUGAGGACAUUUUAUGGACUUAAAUCCUCAGGGAGCUGAUUGCAUUUAUGACUGAUGACAUCGACAAUUAACUGAGAAAAUGGCCUUCGGCGGUGAAAGACAUCUUAACGAAUCAGUUCACACACACUGGCUAGUGAACGUGCCCUGAUGAAGGCCUUAAAAGGAUAAGUGAUUUCAGCAUUCAGGAGAGAGGAUUCUUCUUCAGUCAGCCAGCUUCUACCAGGGAACUCACCGAGGACCUUCAUCAGAAUUCCUGGCUUGCAGCCUGCCCUGCAGAACUUGCACUCGUGCGUCUCUAGUCAUGUGAGACACAUUUAUAAAAUUUCAUAAUAUUUACAGAUUUCUCCUGUCAGUUCUGCUUCCUUAGAGAACCAUGACUAAUAGAGGCAUACAGGAGUACAUAAUAAAGUCAGUGUAGUGUUUAAUUCCAAAGACCCCCAUAUGUUAGUACUAGUAAUAGCCACCCAAAUUAGCAAAUCCUCCUGCCUCUGAUAUCAAGAUGAUCAUAAUAGUUCAGCAAGAUAUAAGUUAAUUAUAUAUACACACAAAAAUAACUAUGUAUUUUGCUAAGAAUCACUAACUAUAAAGGAUAAUCAAAACUCUGCUCUGUUUGAGCUUAUUUUCUGAAGGUUAUUAAAUACGAUAUUAGUGUAGAAUAAUAUUAUGGUAUCUUAUCUUUAUUUGGGGUAACAAGAAAACUUCUGUCUUAGGUUGCUAAAAGCUGCUAGGAGCAAUAUACCAGAAAUGGGUUGGCUUUUUAUAAUGGGAAUUUAUUGGUUUAAAGCUUGCAGUUCUGGAGGCUGUGAAAAUGUCCAAAUCAAGGCGCAAUCAGAGCUGCUGUUUCCCCCUAGGCGGCCGCUGGCGAUGCUGGACUGCUGCCGAUCUGGGGCUCUGCCUUCCCCCCAGGCUUCCUUUCUGCCCCAGCUCAGCUGUGGCUGAUGAGGCUUAUGGCUCAGCUCUCCCCUCUCCUCCCGGUCUCUUCCAGGUUUGGGAUUUGUGUAUCUCUGCUGCUUUUUCUCUGUGUCUCUUUCAGCCCUCUGCUUAGCAAGAACUCCAGCAAGAAGACCAAGACACACCCAGGGUCAGGCCUCACUGAAGCCAUCCAAUCAAAGCCCCCCACCCCCAACUGAAUCUAAUCCAAUCAAAGCCCCCACCCCAACUGAAUCUAGUCCAAUUAAAGCCCCCACUCCCCAAUUGAGUCUAAUCCAAUCAAGCCCCCAAUUGAAUCUAAUUCAAUUAAAGCCCUCACCCCCCCCCCCCACUCUAAUCCAAUCAAAGG
rnacentral:lncRNA from 1 species